GAGAUAUGCAAGGUACAAUUGAUCGUUUUGAAACAGAGUAUAGAAGCAUAAAAAAAGGAUGGGACUUGGGAGCAAAGGAAAAAUGGGAUCAAUUGAUUAAGAUGCGAGCAGAUACCACUCAACCUGAUGGAACUCGAAUAAUGACAGAUGAGGAAAUUUGUGCAUAAGUUCUCAAAGUCAAAUCAGGCUACAUUAAGGGCUGUGGUUUUGGCCCUAAACCAUCACCAUUAAGGUUCUCUCGUUCUUCGAUGAGUGAAA